AUUGAACGCUGGCGGCAUGCCUUACACAUGCAAGUCGAACGGCAGCACGGGAGCAAUCCUGGUGGCGAGUGGCGAACGGGUGAGUAAUAUAUCGGAACGUGCCCAGUCGUGGGGAUAACGUAGCGAAAGCUACGCUAAUACCGCAUACGAUCUAUGGAUGAAAGCGGGGGAUCGCAAGACCUCGCGCGAUUGGAGCGGCCGAUAUCAGAUUAGGUAGUUGGUGAGGUAAAGGCUCGCCAAGCCGACGAUCUGUAGCUGGUCUGAGAGGACGACCAGCCACACUGGGACUGAGACACGGCCCAGACUCCUACGGGAGGCAGCA
rnacentral:rRNA from 1 species